AUUGAACGCUGGCGGCAUGCCUUACACAUGCAAGUCGAACGGCAGCACGGGGGCAACCCUGGUGGCGAGUGGCGAACGGGUGAGUAAUGCAUCGGAACGUGCCCCGUAGCGGGGGAUAACCAGUCGAAAGACUGGCUAAUACCGCAUACGCUCCACGGAGGAAAGCAGGGGAUCGCAAGACCUUGCACUAUGGGAGCGGCCGAUGCCCGAUUAGCUAGUUGGUGAGGUAAAGGCUCACCAAGGCGACGAUCGGUAGCUGGUUUGAGAGAACGACCAGCCACACUGGGACUGAGACACGGCCCAGACUCCUACGGGAGGCAGCAGUGGGGAAUUUUGGACAAUGGGCGCAAGCCUGAUCCAGCCAUGCCGCGUGC
rnacentral:rRNA from 1 species